rnacentral:rRNA from 1 species
UGAGUUUGAUCCUGGCUCAGGGUGAACGCUAGUAGUAUGCUUAACACAUGCGAGUCGAACGAAAAAUAAUUUUUCGUGGCGUACGGGUGAGUAAUACACAGGAAUCUGCCUUUUAGUUCAGGAUAAAAUUCUGAAUAACAAAAGAAAACUUUUCGCUAAAAGAUGAGCCUGUGUAGGAUUAGGUAGUUGGUAUUUGGGUAAAGGCCUACCAAGCCUAUGAUCCUUAGCUGUUCUGAGAGGUUGUACAGCCACACUGGGACUGAGACAAGGCCCAGGCUUCAUUUGGAGCCAGCAGUGAGGAAUUUUGGACAAUGAGCGAAAGCUUGAUCCAGCAAUACUACAUGAGUGAUGAAGGCUUUCAAGUUGUAAAACUCUUUGGUUGAGGAGGAUAAUGACAGUACUCAACAAAAUAGCCCCGGCUAACUUCGUGCCAGCAGCCGCGGUAAUACGAAGGGGGCGAGCGUUAUCCGGAAUGACUGGGCGUAAAGGGUCCGUAGGCAGCAUUUUUUGUUAGAGGUUAAAUAAAAAAGCUUAACUUUUUUCCGCUUCUAAAACGUAAAUGCUUUGAGUUUGAUAGGAGAUAGCAGAAUUUCACAUGGAGGGGUGAUAUCCGUAGAUAUGUGAAGGAAUACCAGAGGCGAAGGCGGCUAUCUAGAUCAAUACUGACGUUGAGGGACGAAAGCAUGGGGAGCAAACAGGAUUAGAUACCCUGGUAGUCCAUGCCCUAAAAGAUGAGUGCUCGUGCUUAGAUAUUUUUAGGCACUUAGUUAACACGUUAAGCACUCCGCCUGGGGAGUACGACCGCAAGGUUGGAACUCAAAGGAAUUGACGGGGGCCUAUACAAGUGGUGGAGCAUGUGGUUUAAUGCGACAAUACGCGCGAAACCUUACCAGUUCUUGACAUAAAAAAGAAAAAGUUUGAAAGGACAAUUUUGAAGAUUUUUACAGGUGCUGCAUGGCUGUCGUCAGCUCGUGUCGUGAGAUGUUAGGUUAACUCCUUUUAACGGGCGAAACCCCUUUUCUUAGUUGCCACUUAAAUUUAAUUUUAAAGCACUCUAAAAAGACAGCUCCUUUUUUUUAAUUUGGAGAGGAAGGUGGGGAUGACGUCAAGUCCUUAUGGCCCUUAUGAACUGGGCUACACACGUGCUACAAUGGUAAAGACAAUGAGAAGCAAUAGGGUAACCCGGAGCCAAUCUUCAAACUUUACCAAAGUUCGAAUUGUGGACUGCAACUCGUCCACAUGAAGGUGGAAUCACUAGUAAUCGCACAUCAGCAUGUUGCGGUGAAUUUGUACCUAGGCCUUGUACACACCGCCCGUCACGUGCCGGGAGUUGGCUUGGCUAGAAACUUAUUUCUCAACUAUGAAGAAAAAUUUUUCUUUCAUUUUGAAAUUGUUAUUUUUUUAGAAAUAGAGAGAGUAAACUACAGAUGGGUCGAUGACUGGGAUGAAGUCGUAACAAGGUAGUCGUACGGGAACGUGCGGCUGGAAUUUUAAGAAUUAUACAAUUUACUCACAUUACAUUUUUUAAAAAUAAAAUAUAUGGUUUUAAAGAAAACUACAUUGUCAAAAAAAAUAAAAAAUUUUACUAUUAAUUUUGGGCCACAGCACCCAGCUGCUCAUGGCGUGUUAAGACUAGUACUGGCACUUAAUGGAGAAAUUGUUGAAAGAGCUGAUCCUCAUAUAGGUCUCCUUCAUAGAGGAACUGAAAAGCUAAUAGAACAUAAGACUUAUAUUCAAGCUUUGCCGUAUUUUGAUCGUUUAGAUUAUGUGUCUAUGAUGGCUCAAGAACAUACUUAUAGUUUAGCUGUCGAAAAGCUAGCAAAUACAAAAAUUCCUUUACGUGCUCAAUAUAUUCGUGUACUUUUUCUUGAGAUUACUCGAAUUUUAAAUCAUCUUUUGGCAGUUGGUUGUCAUGCAAUGGAUGUUGGUGCGAUGACACCUUUUUUAUGGGCUUUUGAAGAACGUGAAAAAUUGAUGGAAUUUUAUGAACGUGUUUCAGGAGCUAGAAUGCAUGCAGCCUAUAUACGUCCAGGAGGGGUUAGCCAAGAUAUUCCUUUAGGAUUAUUAGAUGAUAUUUACAUUUUUGCAGAACAAUUUGGUAUCCGAUUAGAUGAAAUGGAAGAAAUGCUUACAGCUAAUCGUAUUUGGAAACAAAGAUUAGUUGAUAUCGGUGUUGUUUCAGCGAAAGAUGCUGCAGAUUGGGGUUUUAGUGGUGUUAUGUUGAGAGGAUCUGGAAUUCCUUGGGAUUUAAGAAAGAGUCAGCCCUAUGAAAUUUAUUCGAAGUUAGAUUUUGAAGUUCCAGUUGGUAACAAUGGGGACUGUUUUGAUCGCUACUUGAUUCGGGUAGAAGAAAUGCGUCAAUCAUUAAGAAUUAUUUGGCAAACUUUGAAUCAAAUUCCAAAUGGACCUGUAAAGAGCGAUGAUAGAAAGUUAACUCCUCCAUCAAGAGCUCAUAUGAAACAAUCUAUGGAAUCUCUAAUACACCAUUUUAAAUUGUAUACUGAAGGAAUGGUAAUUCCAGCAGGAGAAACUUAUACUGCAACUGAAGCUCCUAAGGGUGAAUUUGGUGUUUAUUUAGUUUCGGAUGGUAGUAAUCGACCUUAUCGUUGUAAAAUCAAAGCGCCAGGCUUCGGUCAUUUACAGGCAUUAGAUUUUAUGGCUAAAGGUCAUAUGGUUGCUGAUGUUGUAACUAUUAUAGGAACCCAGGAUAUUGUUUUUGGUGAAGUAGAUCGGUAA